rnacentral:rRNA from 1 species
AACGAACGCUGGCGGCAUGCCUAACACAUGCAAGUCGAACGAGACCUUCGGGUCUAGUGGCGCACGGGUGCGUAACGCGUGGGAACCUGCCCUUAGGUUCGGAAUAACUUCCCGAAAGGGGCGCUAAUACCGGAUAAUGCCUUCGGACCAAAGAUAUAUUGCCAUUUGAUGGGCCCGCGUUGGAUUAGCUAGUUGGUAGGGUAAAAGCCUACCAAGGCGACGAUCCAUAGCUGGUCUGAGAGGAUGAUCAACCACACUGGGGCUGAGACACGGCCCAGACUCCUACGGGAGGCAGCAGUGGGGAAUAUUGGACGAUGGGCGAGAGCCUGAUCCAGCAGUGCCGCGUGAGUGAUGAAGGCCUUAGGAUUGUAAAGCUCUUUUGCCCGGGAUGAUAAUGACAGUACCGGGAGAAUAAGCUCCGGCUAACUCCGUG